UGCGUAGGCGGCGAUAUAAGUCAGAAGUGAAAGUUGGCAGCUUAACUGCAAAAUUGCUUUUGAUACUGUGUCGCUUGAAUCAGGUUGAGGCUGGCGGAAUGUGGCAUGUAGCGGUGAAAUGCUUAGAUAUGCCAUAGAACACCAAUUGCGAAGGCAGCUGGCUGGACCUGUAUUGACGCUGAGGCACGAAAGCGUGGGGAGCGAACAGGAUUAGAUACCCGAGUAGUCC
rnacentral:rRNA from 1 species